rnacentral:rRNA from 1 species
AUACGUAGGUGGCAAGCGUUAUCCGGAAUUAUUGAGCGUAAAGAGGGAGCAGGCGGCAGCAAGGGUCUGUGGUGAAAGCCUGAAGCUUAACUUCAGUAAGCCAUAGAAACCAGGCAGCUAGAGUGCAGGAGAGGAUCGUGGAAUUCCAUGUGUAGCGGUGAAAUGCGUAGAUAUAUGGAGGAACACCAGUGGCGAAGGCGACGAUCUGGCCUGCAACUGACGCUCAGUCCCGAAAGCGUGGGGAGCAAAUAGGAUUAGAUACCCUAGUAGUCCACGCCGUAAACGAUGAGUACUAAGUGUUGGAUGUCAAAGUUCAGUGCUGCAGUUAACGCAAUAAGUACUCCGUCUGAGUAGUACGUUCGCAAGAAUGAAACUCAAAUGAAUUGGCGGGG